rnacentral:rRNA from 1 species
UUACAUUUUCCUGGUUGAUCCUGCCGGACCUGACUGCUAUCGGAUUGGUACUAAGCCAUGCGAGUCGUUGUAGCAAUACAAGGCGGACUGCUCAGUAACACGUAGUUAACUUAACCUAUGGAUGGGAAUAACCUCGGGAAACUGAGAAUAAUACCCAAUAGACCACAGUGCCUGGAAUGGCCUGUGGUUGAAAUGAUUUAUCGCCGUAGGAUAGGACUGCGGCCUAUCAGCUUGUUGGUGAGGUAAUGCCCACCAAGGCUAUAACAGGUACGGGCUCUGAGAGGAGGGGCCCGGAGAUGGGUACUGAGACACGGACCCAGGCCCUAUGGGGCGCAGCAGGCGAGAAACCUUUGCAAUGUGCGAAAGCACGACAAGGUUAAUCCGAGUGUCUCCUGCUAAAGGAGUCUUUUGUCAGUUGUAGAAUCACUGGUGAAUAAGGGGUGGGCAAGUUCUGGUGUCAGCCGCCGCGGUAAAACCAGCACCUCGAGUGGUCAGGAGGUUUAUUGGGCCUAAAGCAUCCGUAGCCGGUUGCAUAAGUUUUCGGUUAAAUCUAUGCGCUUAACGUAUAGGCCGNCGAAAAUACUGUGCAGCUAGGGAGUGGGAGAGGU